rnacentral:lncRNA from 1 species
CUGUGUUUCAAUUCAAAGUGCUUUCAGCCUCACACAGAGCAGCACAGCCUGUCAGUAUUUUGCUGCAUUGCCACCUCAGAGCAUUUAUCUUCGGUUCAGUUCCCUGAUAUAAUCGAAGAGCAUCAACAAAUUUAGAAGCACCUAUAGGUGCAACCAAACUUUAAAAAAUAUUUUUUGUUAUUAAAUGCAAAUAGAAGUUCUUUGGUUAGUCCAAUAAACUGUUCACUUGGCUGCCACAAGCACAGAAUACCUUUAAAGUAAAUUCCAUGCUGUUAUUUUUCAACAAGCACACCAUACACGUAUGCUGUACUGUGUCAUCUCUGUCAAAUGCAGAUGGUUAAUUCCUACAGCAGCUGGUACUGGAUAUUGAAAGGACAAAGCAGAAAGCCUUGGACAACUGUGGAAUACAUCUACUUUGAAAAGCUCCUUACUGAAGGAAAUGAGUGGUUCUGCUAGAACAAAUUAAUAUGCAUACCCUCACUCAGUAAUUCUGUACCUCCGCUGUGGACACUUCCAUAGUGCGUGCAGCUGCAGUGGUGCUAGCAUUACUCCUGCCCUACAUCCCAGACCAGCAGCAGUGGGCGCAAGCUGGCAAACGAAGCAGAUCUCCAACCUCAGCAGCAGGCCACCUCCUGGACUCCAGCUGCUUAUCCGCUAUCGCCUGUGGCCAGCCGGCCAACCUCCCCCCUCACAAAGAGGCCCAGUCCAGCCAAGCCCGCCGCCCACCUCCAAGGAGCGGCCGCUCUCACAGGAGCCCGCGCAACCCCCGCGCCGAACCAGGGGCCCGCCACACGCACCCCACCCUCAAAACCCUCCCCACCUCCGGCUUAGAGUUGCUCUUCACAUACACCCGGCCGCCGUCCGUCUCAUAGCUCUGGCCCUGGCUGAUACAACCGCCCCCCAAGUGCCCGGUAGCGCGGAGCACCGAGGUGCCCAGCUCCCGCCUCAGCGCCUCCUCCAUGCCGCCUGCCGCGGCCAGCGCCGAACUGAGCAUGCGCGGAGCGGCUGCGCCUGCGCGGUGUGAUUGGGGGGGUGGCGGGUGGGGCCGGCAAGAUGGCGGUGUUGCGUGAGGUGAGGGGUGAUGGUUGGGCGGGGUGGUGGGUGCUGCUGCGUGUAGCUGACAGGAGGGCGCUGGCUAAAGGCGGGCGCCUCGCUGUGACUUCUGAGGGGUGAUGGGCCUUUGUUUUUUGUGUUAGCUUCUCUGCAGUCCGUUAGUGUUGGACAUGGGCCAGUGUCGGACUGAAAUGAAUCAUACCUACAGAGAUCAUCUGUGUGCUG